rnacentral:rRNA from 1 species
GACGAACGCUGGCGGCGUGCUUAACACAUGCAAGUCGAACGGAAAGGCCCUGCUUUUGUGGGGUGCUCGAGUGGCGAACGGGUGAGUAACACGUGAGUAACCUGCCCCUGACUUUGGGAUAACUUCAGGAAACUGGGGCUAAUACCGGAUAGGAGCUCCCGCUGCAUGGUGGGGGUUGGAAAGUUUCGGCGGUUGGGGAUGGACUCGCGGCUUAUCAGCCUGUUGGUGGGGUAGUGGCUUACCAAGGCUUUGACGGGUAGCCGGCCUGAGAGGGUGACCGGCCACAUUGGGACUGAGAUACGGCCCAGACUCCUACGGGAGGCAGCAGUGGGGAAUAUUGCACAAUGGGCGGAAGCCUGAUGCAGCAACGCCGCGUGCGGGAUGACGGCCUUCGGGUUGUAAACCGCUUUCGCCUGUGACGAAGCGUGAGUGACGGUAAUGGGUAAAGAAGCACCGGCUAACUACGUG